CCAGCCGGCCGGACGGCCGCCUCGCUCUCCAGGCGGGGAGGAAAGUCCGGGCUCCAUGGAAGAACGGUGCCGGGUAACGCCCGGCGGGGGCGACCCCAGGGAAAGCGCCACAGAAAGCAAACCCCCUCGCCUUCGCGGCUUCGUGCCGCGUCGCCCGAAAGGGAGGCGGGGGAAGGGUGAAAGGGUGGGGUAAGAGCCCACCGCGGACGCGGCAACGCGGACGGCACGGCAAGCCCCACCGGGAGCAAGACCAAGAAGGGACUGCGCGGGCGUCAGCCCAGCCUUUUCCAGGCCAGCCGUCCGGGUCGGUCGCGCGAAGCGCCCGGCGACGGGCGCUCCAGAUGAAUGGCCGUCGCGCCGUUGAGCUUGCUCAGCGGCCUUACAGAACCCGGCUUACAGGCCGGCUGGCGCU
rnacentral:RNase_P_RNA from 1 species